rnacentral:tRNA from 1 species
GCGGGAGUGGCGGAAUGGUAGACGCGUACGUUUGAGGUGCGUAUGGUAACCCCGUGAGAGUUCAAGUCUCUUCUCCCGCACCA